AUGAACGCUAGCGACAGGCUUAACACAUGCAAGUCGAGGGGCAGCACAGGUAGCAAUACCGGGUGGCGACCGGCGCACGGGUGAGUAACGCGUAUGCAACUUACCUAUCAGAGGGGGAUAACCCGGCGAAAGUCGGACUAAUACCGCAUGAAGCAGGGGCCCCGCAUGGGGAUAUUUGCUAAAGAUUCAUCGCUGAUAGAUAGGCAUGCGUUCCAUUAGGCAGUUGGCGGGGUAACGGCCCACCAAACCGACGAUGGAUAGGGGUUCUGAGAGGAAGGUCCCCCACAUUGGUACUGAGACACGGACCAAACUCCUACGGGAGGCAGCAGUGAGGAAUAUUGGUCAAUGGCCGAGAGGCUGAACCAGCCAAGUCGCGUGAGGGAUGAAGGUUCUAUGGAUCGUAAACCUCUUUUAUAAGGGAAUAAAGUGCGGGACGUGUCCCGUUUUGUAUGUACCUUAUGAAUAAGGAUCGGCUAACUCCGUGCCAGCAGCCGCGGUAAUACGGAGGAUCCGAGCGUUAUCCGGAUUUAUUGGGUUUAAAGGGUGCGUAGGCGGCCUUUUAAGUCAGCGGUGAAAGUCUGUGGCUCAACCAUAGAAUUGCCGUUGAAACUGGGGGGCUUGAGUAUGUUUGAGGCAGGCGGAAUGCGUGGUGUAGCGGUGAAAUGCUUAGAUAUCACGAAGAACUCCGAUUGCGAAGGCAGCUCACUGGACUGCAACUGACACUGAUGCUCGAAAGUGUGGGUAUCAAACAGGAUUAGAUACCCUGGUAGUCCACGCUGUAAACGAUGAUUACUAGGUGUGGGGGGUCUGACCCCUUCCGUGCCGGAGUUAACACAAUAAGUAAUCCACCUGGGGAGUACGGCCGCAAGGUUGAAACUCAAAGGAAUUGACGGGGGCCCGCACAAGCGGAGGAACAUGUGGUUUAAUUCGAUGAUACGCGAGGAACCUUACCCGGGUUUGAACGCAUUCGGACCGAGGUGGAAACACCUUUUCUAGCAAUAGCCGUUUGCGAGGUGCUGCAUGGUUGUCGUCAGCUCGUGCCGUGAGGUGUCGGCUUAAGUGCCAUAACGAGCGCAACCCUUGCCACUAGUUACUAACAGGUGAUGCUGAGGACUCUGGUGGGACUGCCAGCGUAAGCUGCGAGGAAGGCGGGGAUGACGUCAAAUCAGCACGGCCCUUACAUCCGGGGCGACACACGUGUUACAAUGGCGUGGACAAAGGGAGGCCACCUGGCGACAGGGAGCGAAUCCCCAAACCACGUCUCAGUUCGGAUCGGAGUCUGCAACCCGACUCCGUGAAGCUGGAUUCGCUAGUAAUCGCGCAUCAGCCAUGGCGCGGUGAAUACGUUCCCGGGCCUUGUACACACCGCCCGUCAAGCCAUGGGAGCCGGGGGUACCUGAAGUCCGUAACCGCGAGGAUCGGCCUAGGGUAAAACUGGUGACUGGGGCU
rnacentral:rRNA from 1 species